CCUACGGGGGGCAGCAGUGGGGGAUAUUGCACAAUGGGGGGAACCCUGAUGCAACGACGCCGCGUGGGUGAAGGAGCGUUUCGGCGCGUAAAGCUCUAUCGGCAGGGAAGAAGAUGACGGUACCUGAGCAAGAAGCCCCGGCUAACUACGUGCCAGCAGCCGCGGUAAUACGUAGGGGGCAAGCGUUAUCCGGAUUUACUGGGUGUAAAGGGGGCGUAGACGGCAAUGCAAGGCAGGAGUGAAAGGCCGGGGCUCAACCCCGGGACUGCUCUUGAAACUGGAUGGCUGGAGUGCAGGAGAGGCAAGCGGAAUGCCUAGUGUAGCGGUGAAAUGCGUAGAUAUUAGGAGGAACACCGGUGGCGAAGGCGGCCUACUGGACUGUGACUGACGUUGAGGCCCGAAGGCGUGGGGAGCAAACAGGAUUAGAUACCCCGGUAGUC
rnacentral:rRNA from 1 species